GGGGCAUUAGCGCAGCUGGGAGCGCGUUUGACUGGCAGUCAAGAGGUCACGGGUUCGAUCCCCGUAUGCUCCACCA
rnacentral:tRNA from 1 species